CCCUUAGAUGUUCUGGGCCGCACGCGCGCUACACUGAUGCAUUCAACGAGCCUAUCCUUGGCAGAAGUGCCCGGGUAAUCUUUGAAACUGCAUCGUGAUGGGGAUAGAUUAUUGCAAUUAUUAGUCUUCAACGAGGAAUGCCUAGUAAGCGCGAGUCAUCAGCUCGCGUUGAUUACGUCCCUGCCCUUUGUACACACCGCCCGUCGCUCCUACCGAUUGGGUGUGCUGGUGAAGUGUUCGGAUUGGCUCCUAUUGGUGGCAACACUGAUUGGAGCCGAGAAGAUCAUUAAACCCUNCNACCUAGNGGAAGGAGAANUCGUANCA
rnacentral:rRNA from 1 species